GCAUCUAUGGUCCAGCGGUAGGAUAUUUGCCUUCCAAGCAAAUGGCUCGGGUUCGACUCCCGGUGGAUGCA
rnacentral:tRNA from 2 species